ensembl:lncRNA
AAAAAACAACACCAAACAAAUGCUAACGUUUUACAAAAAAAAAAUUUAAAACUGUGUGUGACUUAAUUUUGUAAACAUGUGGUUUAUUAGGCAUAUUCUGGUAAACAAUUUUAAUUUAAAACACAUUACUAGUGAAUAUUUGUAAUUUAUUUUUAUUUCACCUUUAUUUAACCAGGUAGGCCAGUUGAGAACAAGUUCUCAUUUACAACUGUGACCUGGCCAAGAAAAGCAAAGCAGUGCGACAAAAACAACAACACGGAGUUACACAUAAACAAACAUACAGUCAAUAACACAACAGAAAAGAAAAAUAGAAAAAUAUAUAUAACCUACAAUAAAAUCUAAUAUAACCUACAAUUCAUAAAAUGAACAAGCCAAAAGCCUAAUAAUUUGCUAAUCGUACUGACUAAACAAUGCAAAAUCAAUCAAAUCAUGUGUGCACUAGCGGCACAACAUUGAUGGAAAAAUGACAUUCAUUUCAUGUCAUAUUUCUCUGACACCUCAGGAGGUUGGAGAGGUAAGGGUUGAUAACUAAUGUAUGUUUGGCAACUGGGAAGUAGGGAAAAAAACGAGGUCAAAUCAAGACCUUAGUCGGAGCUCUAGAAAAAUGCCCGAGUUUCCAUCUUGGAAUUCCGAGUUGGAUGACCCUUCAAAAUAUUUGUCCAAGUCGAAGCUCAUUUUUCCCGAGUCCCAGUUGUCUUGAACGCACUGAAGUAAGGACAUUUCCGAGUUCCGAGUUUACAGUUGUUUUGAACGCGGCAUAUGGAUCGGGCACACCUUUUUCCCCUGAGACACUCGGGUUUCGACAAAUGGGCGGAAGCAAAUUGGAAGUUUGCUUGAGUUUUCGGGAUGUGAAAAUCAGUCUCGUUUCAUGCUGGCCAUCUACUUGGAUUAUCCACGGUUGUCAUAGGCAGAUGCCCAUCCUCCAACCCCAUCGCUCACUGUUGCCCCUAUUGGACGGUUUCCACGUCGACUCCCGACGUCCUCAGACAUGGGUAAACGUCGAAUACUGACUUGUAAUCACAGGUGACCUGGCUGGCUUUUUCAGCUUUCUGAACAUUUGAUGCCAAACUUUUCCGAAGGCACAAAAGUCACAACAGUACUGUAAUUAGUCCUACCUUUUCUGAGCAGCAAUUUGCUCCCUGGUCGUGACAUUAUGAGCCAUCUAUGGCUUUGAAGCGUUUGUGUGUGGAGUGUGCUCAAAUCCAGGGACCAAACUCGUUUUUAGUCAACGAGUGGGACACAGUGAGGAUCUUGUGAUACAAUGUUUGUUGUUCUUGCUAUACAUUGUUGCUUAUUCUCAGAGGUGGAAAAAGUUUUCAAUUGUCAUACUUGAGCGAAAGUAAAGAUGCCUUAAUAUAAAAUGACUCAAGUGAAAGUAACCCAGUAAAAAUACUACUUGAGUACAAGUCCAAAAUAAUCCGAUUUUAAAUGUACUCAAGUACGGUGGCGGAAAAAGUACUCAAUUGUCAUACUUGAGUAAAAGUGAAUGCUAUACAUAAAAUUCCUUAUUUAGCAAACCAGAUGGCACAAUUGUCCUUUUUUUGACAGCCAUGCGCACACCCCAACACUCAGACAUCAUUUACAAAGGAAGAGUCCACCAGAUCAGAGGCAGUAGGGAGGACCAGGGACGUUCUCUUGACAAGUGUGAAUUGGACCUUUUUUCCUUUACUGGUAAGCAUUCUAAUUGUAACUAGUACUUUCGCUCAGGAAAAUGUAUGGAGUAAAAAGUACAUUUUCUUUAGGAAUAAAGUUAAAUAAGACAAAAAUAUAAAGUACAGAUACUCCAAAAACUGACUUAAGUACUUUAAAGUAUUUUUUUACUGAAGUACUUACAUCACUGCUUAUUCUCAUGAAGACUUCUGGACAUGUGACUUCUGAACACAACAGUACAUAUGAUAUGGGUAAUGAUCAAUGUCUAAGGUUUACAGAUGGCCAGCCAGGAUGAGCAUUUAGGAGUGUUGUAUCCCAGCAUUACUGAAGCUUAAAAGCUUAGGUUGUGCCAUGAUGGCCAGCCAGGAUGAGCAUUUAGGAG